GAACGUGAAUAUGCUUGGUUCCACUAAAAGCAAAGUAUAAGUCCCACUAAAAUCGGACUCAAAUUUGACCCAAUUCACUAAUUAAAACCAUUUAGAACAGUUGUUUUAUUCUAGUUCUUGCAUCUUUCAUUUUGGGUUCAGUUUAUGGAUGAUGACCUCCAUUGCUCCUCGUAUACUCCACCAACUUAAGUCCAUCCACAUCAGAACUAGAAUCCGAGUAGGUUGUGCUCGGGCUCCAAGAAUGGUCUAGAGCAAUUUUCCCGAGCUGCUCUCUCUGUAGCAUGGCUUCCACUAGUCUCUCCCAGUUGUCACGGCUCCUCCUCCAAUGCAUCUCUGUUUGAAGUUUGAAAUCAUUCUUAGAACAUCUCAAUACACCUAGGAAAAUAAGAGUUCCAAUUCCAAGCACAAAGAUUAUGAUUUUUCUUGUAGUUUCAGGAUGGAGUUGAAUAAGACAUAAAUGUCACCUACUAGAUAUAAUUUCAAGGAAAUUAUGAUAAGUGGAACAUUGACUUCAAGGAAAAUUAGGUGUUGAAGGGGAGAAUUGAAGUUACAACACCUACUUCAAGGAAAGUUCUAGAUUUGUGUGGUUCAUUCAUCUCAUUUCUUGAAGCUUCUUCUCCAAGGAGACUGAAGAAUAAUCUGGAUAAAUUUUGGGGAUGUAGCUAUCACCGCCAUUUUUAGAAAAAUCUGGAACUUGAAGCACCGCCAUACUAGAACCAUCCAUCACCGACUUCUUACAUCUAUAUAUACAGCCUGUUGUAUUGUAUUGUGUAUGAAAAAAAUAGAAUGAAAGAAUGUGUGUAAAUGAGUGCGUGAAAGAGUGAAGAGAGUGGUGGUGAGCAAAGAGAGAAAUAAACAGGGAGAUAUAGAUACAUCAGUGUGUAUGUGUUUUGUCGGAGAGAGAAAGUGAUAGGCUGUGGUGAGCUAAAGAGUGAGUAAGAAAAGUUAGUGGAGUGAUAAAUAAAUGGUGAGGUGCUCGCUUGAUUAGAAUUUAGUGUGGUGUGGUAAGGUGUGUUUUGUUACAAAAUUAAUUGUACAAGUUUCUUGUGUAAUAGAGCGAAAUUCUUUUGGUGUUGAACUUAACACUUUAGAUUCAGGUUCGAAACAUGUAUGCAUGAUUUUUUCGAUUAAACAAGAGGGUUAUAUUGAUAGAUCGAGCAAAGAAUCUGCGUGAUGAAAAAUUAUAAGCUUUUGCAAGUAUUAUAUAGCAUUGAAACUACACUUCCUUCACCGAAUAAACCGUACUUCCCAGACAUAUAUUCCUCAGAAAUGAGGUAACCACUCAAUGCGGCCAUGAUUUCAUAUUUGAAAUUUGUGAAAAGCUGCUUUAUAUAUAUAUAUAUAUAUAUAUAUAUAUAAGAAUCAUCAAUCUAUUUGUAGAUUGUUAAUACACGACUUCCCAAGAGUUACAACACUUCACAUUGGUCUUAACAAUUUAAUUUUAAAUACAUGAAAAAAAGGAAAUGAAAGAAGGCCCCAAAAACUAUAUAAUCAUGAAAUUACAUCAUGGUGCCUGUUCAGAGAACUCGGUGACCUCUAUAAAGCAAACCGUGGUUGCCACUUGACCAUCAGGAAGCCCUGUUGGUCACGGUGAGGUCGAGAGAAUUCUGACCUUUGAUUGGUUAGAACUUCAUCUUGCCAACAUGCUGUAAAUUGAAGUAAUUAUGACAAAUAAUAAUAAAAAACAAUACACAACAAUUACGAACAGAUAUCUAGUAUCCACUUGUAUCUUCAAUUGCUUUUCACAAUUAAAAGGGGAGUUAAAUUUAAAUAACCAUGAAUCACAAGAUUAACUGCAGAAAUGAAUUACAAUAAGAAAGUUAUAUUAACAGAACUAGUUUUUCGGAGACAAAAAUUCUAUUUGGAAAAGAAGAUAAUCCCCUACUCUGCCACCACCAUAGUCCAUGGAUGGUAUCAUUCCAUGCAAUGAACCUUCUUAUCUUUUUGAAACAGAUGGUUAGCUCCAUAUGUCAAUCCACUUCAGGCCUUUUGGGUCUUUGCCCGUGGAAAGGAACAAGAAAAAUCAUCAUUAUUUUCAAACUGCCUUUGUGCCUCCACUAUAUUGACUUGAUACCUCAGCAGCUUCAUAUCAAACACGUGGCUUUCCAAUUCAUAUGAUUAAUAUAUCGUAUCCAUUUGACUAACUGGAUGACCUCACCAUCAUUUGAGGUAUAAAGAGCUGGCUUUCCAGAGAGCAUUUUGAGUAGCAAAACUCCAAAGCUGUAGAC
rnacentral:lncRNA from 1 species